rnacentral:lncRNA from 1 species
GGUAUAAUUAUAUGGACGAGGGUACACGGUAGAAUAAGGUAAAUAGGAAAAAAAUAUCUUUUGGAGGGAAAAAAUUACUUGUCUAUAUCAUGACCCCUUUGAAUGUAAACACGCAGUGUUUUUAGACAAAGAAGUAAGGGAUGAGACAGAAUUUUGUCCCGACCAUUAUUCAAAAAUGAAACAAAAAGAAGGAGGGAAACUAAGUUUUGAUUUAGGACAUCCUACCUACCCAAGUUAUGAGGGAAACAAGUCACGGGUAUCUCAAAGGCUUGGAGAGAGAAGGACUAUACCGAGUUGGAGAGUCAUGUGAAUCCCGUCGAGGUUUCAGUCCGCGGCUCUCUUAUUACAUCAAAAAUGAAAAUUAUAAGUUAAAACAUAAAUGAAAUUACAAAAAUCCUAUCUAUGCAGCUUCUUUUGGACUCUUGACUUGAGUUUCAUCAUCCUAUUCUUCAGACGGGCUCCUGACUUGCAAUUUCUUCAACUUGUUGUUUGGCUUUCAGUUUUUUCAACUUGUUGUUUGACAUUCAACUUCUUCACCUUGUUGUCUGACUUUCAACUUCUUGACCUUGUUGCUUGACUUUCAAUCUCUCAACCUUGUUACUUGACUUUCAAUUUCAUCACCCUAUUCUUCUGGUGGGCUCCUGACUUGCCAUUUCAUCACCCUGUUCUUCAGGCGGGUUCCUAGCUUUCAAUUUCAUCAUCCUGUUCUUCAGGCGGACUCCUGACUUUCAAUUUUUAUCACCCUGUUCUUCAGGAAGGCUCCUGACUUGCAAUUUCAUCUCCCUGUUCUUCAGGCAGGCUCCUAACUUUCAAUUUGAUCACCCUAUUCUUCAAGCGGGCUCCUGACUUUCAUCUUUCAUCACCUUGUUCUUCAGGCUGGCUCCUAACUUGCAAUUUUAUCACCCUAUUCUUCAGGUGGGCUCCUAACUUUCAAUUUUGUCAUCCUAUUCUUCAGGCGGACUCCUGAAACCAAAAUCAAAGCUAAUACAAAAAUAUCCCAAAUGAAGAUUAUGCUAAAGAAAGAUUUCAUUUUUUGAAAGUAUUGUCCCAUUUUCCAGGAGGGUCUUGAAUAGAAAGUAAAAUCUCAUUUUUCAGGAGGGUGCUGAACAGAAAGUAAAUUUCUAUUUUUCAGGAAGGGCCUGAAUAGAAAGUAAAAUUUCAUUUUUUAGGAGGGUCCUGAACAGAAAAUAAAUUCCCAUUUUUCAGGAGCGUCCUGAACAGAAAGUAAAAUCCCAUUUUUCAAGAGGGUCUUGAACAUAAAGUAAACUCCCAUUUUUUAGGAGGAUCCUGAGCAGAAAGUAAAAUCCUAGUUUUCAGGUGGGUUCUGAACAGAAAGUAAAAUUCUAUUUUUUAAGAGGGUCAUGAAUAGAAAGUAAAUUUCAAUUUUUCAGGAGGGUCCUGAACAUAAUAUAAAAUUCCAUUUUUCAGGAGGGUCCUGAGCAGAAAGUAAAAUCCCAUUUUGCAGGAGGGUCAUGAAUAGAAAGUAAAUUUCAAUUUUUCAGGAGGGUCCUGAACAUAAUAUAAAAUUCCAUUUUUCAGGAGGGUCCUGAACAGAAAGUAAAGUCCCAUUUUUCAGGAGGGUCCUGAAGAUAAAGUAAAAUCUCAUUUUUCAGGAGGGUCUUGAGCAGAAAGUAAAAUCUCAUUUUUUAGGAGGAUCCUGAACAAAAAGUAAAUUCCCAUUUUUCAGGAGGGUCCUAAACAGAAAAUGAAAUUCCAUUUUUCAGGAGGGUCCUGAAUAGAAAGUAAAGUUUCAUUUUUCAGGAGGGUCCUGAACAGAAAGUAAAGUCCUAUUUUUCAGGAGGGUCCUGAACAGAAAGUAAAAUUUCAUUUUUUCAGGAGGGUCCUUAACAGAAAGUAAAAUUUCAUUUUUUCAGGAGGGUCCUGAGCAUAAAGUAAAAUCCCAUUUUCUAGGAGGGUCCUGAACAGAAAGUAAAAUCUCAUAGAUGUGCUUUUCCAAUGGUUUUUGAAUUAAGUGAAGCGAAUAUGCACUUGUUUAAACAAAGAAAAUUUUUCAGUUAAAAACUUAGUGGUGGCUUGUAGCACUUGGCUAUCCCGACACCUGCUCCAGUGUUCAUUCACUUCAUUUUGUUUCAGAUUGUUGCCACUUGCCCCUGCUUUAUCGUGUCAUUGACCCAAAUACAGAUUAAGGGAAUAACUCUAAAACAAACACAGUAUCUCUGUUUUCCCUUGCUCCGCAGAUAAACCCUUUGAACCUUGGUAUUUUCAUGAGUUCCCAGACUUAUCUAUUGACAAAACUUUUUGCAUGCCUUGUUCUAACUUGCAAUCUUGUUUCUUUCAUGUGCUGGCCCUUUGUCUAGCUUUGUGCAACUGAAGAAGUUGGUAGCCAGUUUUGAAAUCUUUUCUCACUUAUUUUGUCAAGGACUUGACUCAAAGACACGAGAAAAAUGAUAAUAAGUUUUUUUUAUUUGGAUAACUGACUCAAGAAAAUAAAAAUAAAGAUAAAGAGAAGAAAGAAAAGACAAUGAAUAUCCCCAUUUGAAACAAAGAAACGAAAAAUUUAUCUAAAAUGAUAAUCAACUCUAAUGAUUAUGCCAUGCAUUUGGAUUAAGUUGCCUGAUCUUUUCAUCAAAACUUUCAUCAAUUGUUGUUGAGUUAACGGUCUUGAAACUGAGUUACUUCCUUAGGUCAAUUGUAUUCAAAACCUCAUUCGUCUAGUGACACCUUGAAGGAUUUUCACCAACAAGCUUCUCUCAUUUUUCUCUCGCCUCACCAUCGUCUUAUGAUGCCUGUAAGAGUUUUCACCGAUAAGACUCUUUUAUUUUUAUUUCUCUCAACUCACAGUCGUUUUACAGUGCCCGUGAGGGUUUUUACCGAUAAGACUUUUUCACCGAUAAGACUCUCUUAUUUUAUUUCUCUCCUGAUUCCUUAUGCUGAGGAAGACAAGUAGUUCCCAAAAUGUGUCAUCAUAUCCAUUGCAUGCUUAGCCUUAACAUUCUCAAAGAUUGAUCUGAAGGUCUUUCUUUGGUUGUAACUUGGAUUUUGGAUAAGGUUAGAAAAAAAGGAUGGCAUGGGGCACAAACGACAUUUGAAGUUGGGUGGGACUUAUAACUUUUGGAAUCGACUCAAUUAAUGAGGAUUAACUCAUGCCCCAAUUUUUUUUGACUGGGAAAUUCUAAAUUAUUUAUUUGGUUGGACUGAGCCCAGAGUAGGGCAACCUACGUAUCUUACCUCCGAGAGAAGAGAAUCAGGUCGCGUGUAGUUUUGGCAGCUUGUUUUGCAUGAUUUAGACUUUUGAUUCUUUUUCUCUUAUUGACACUCUUUUCUUUUUGAAUUUUUCUGACUCUAUUUGUCUUGACACUUUUCUUUUGAACUUUGCUGACUCUAUCUUGAUUCCAAAAGAGGGGUAUGUAAGAAAAUAGGACUAAAUCUCAAAUGAGGUAAACAAAGGAUGACACGAUAUUUGAAUAGUAGAAUGAAAUGCCUUCUUCAUAUCAAUCCUUGAAAAUGCAAGUACAUAUCGUGCAAUAUGAAAGUGAGAGAUAAAGAUUAUUUAUGACAUUGUUUAAGCAAUAACUUUAACUGAGUCUGUGCGUCACUACUCUUGCACUUUGUUCAACAUAUCACUCUACUUUUGUUGUACAUUCCUUACAUCGAAUGACUCAUGCUUUCGUGGAGUUGAUUUUUCUGUCCCUCGGGAUCACACAUCCGCUAUUUGACAUAAUUGAGCAAUGUUUUCAAUUGAUGACCAAGUUAUUCUUGUGAUUCUCAAAAUAAUUGUCUUAAUUUUCAAUGAAGGCUUGAACUUGUCACCAAAUGUCUCAACACUCUACCUAUUUUCUCAAAUGCUCUCUUUUUCUAACUUUAACCCUCUGAUUCAAUGUUCAUGCUUAUAUUGAAUUUUAAGAUCUGGCUGAAAGAUCUGCUAGCAUGUCAUAUCACUAGAAUUAACCUAAAAUGUAAUCUGUAAAGAAAACAAAAAAAACACAUAUUUAAAACAUAAAGGAAAAAGGGACACUUCGUUUAAUUAAAAUAAAAGAUAGAAGGGUUUGAACAUAAUGACAAAUGGACAAAACUAGAAAGAUCCUGAACUACAACCCUGAAAUAAUUUGGAUAACAGAAAAUAAACUACCAGACCUCUUCCUAGUAAGGAAAGGGAUGACUUCUCAAUUGCUCAGCCUAACAACUUAACCACUGUUUUGCAUAUCAGCAUGACUAAAACUUUCCUCAUUGUCAAUAUUUUGCACCAUAAUUGAUUAAUCUUGAAUCAUCUUUUCAAUUUCUCUUUUCAAAGCACGACAAUCUUCAAUACUGUGACUCUGAACCUCGGAAUGAUCUGCACAUCGUACAUUAGGAUCAAAACUUAUUGAAUAAGGGCCAGGAGUAUAACCAAGGAGAGGAGUGAUCAUGCCCCAUUAUACCAAUCUCUGAAAUAAACUGGCAUACGACUCUCCAAUUGGUGUGAAGUUAUCCCUCAACUUUUGUCUCAUUUCAUUGUUUAACUUGGAUCGAACAUCAGGCCUAGAAGGGCUUUGGUAUGUUUGUGGAAUUGGUGGAUGAUUUUGAGGAGUUGGUGUGUGCCAUUGUGAGUAAGAAGGGAGUUGAACAUAUAGUUAUGCGCAAUAUACUAGAUAUGAAGGUAGAGAAACAGAGUAUAAUGGAUUUUGGGAGUGAUUAUGAAGAGCUUGGAUAUGAACUUAGGCUUGAGACUGACGGUAACAACGGCGUCGUCUUCUUGGAUGUGCCCGUUCUCCAACUACAAUAGCAGUGUCAUCUUUCUCAUUCUUCUCCCCUUCAAGUUUCCUUAAUUGAUCGCAAUACUGUCCCAAAUGUUUCACGGAUUCCUCAUGCCUAUCUUGCUCCUCAAAUUUUGACAUCUCAAAGAUUAAAGGAAGGUUAGCACUUUAAGGCAUGCCCCAGUCUUUGUAUGAAAUAUCUUCUUUACCCGCAGGUCCUAGAGAAUUUUUCAUAGCAUUUUCUGCACUCUUCAUUUUUCCAACCAUUUUCUCCGACUCUUCUGGCACACGAGACUUCUUGUUAAGAAAUUUUGGUGGUCCAGUUAACUUAAAAGCAGGAUCAGGAGUAUAACAAUGAUCACCAAGAGUAUUGAAUAUAGGUUCACUAGCAGCAUGGGGACGCAUAACCGUUGGGCGAGCUAGUGUGGAAGUCCCAGUAGAGGAUUGAGCAAUAAGAUCACAGACAAUAUAUGGUGCUGUGAAUGUGGUAGACUUAUACUGAUGAGCUAAAGAAAAAGUGGUGGAAGUAUUAAGGUGCAUUUGAUGUAGAAUAAAUUCUGAGGCAUUCUGUGGUGCAUCAACAACAGUAGGAAACUGACUUUGCGAUUUUGGUGGAAGACUCAAGGUAUUUGUAGGGUCAAAAGUGGGGAACAAAGGUGGAGGCAUCCCACUGGCUCAAGCUCGAUGCAUUUCUGUCAUUUGUUGCCUUAGUCUCCUAAUCUCUUGCUUUAAACUCUCGUUUUCAUGACUCUUUGUUUGAUCCAUGAUGUCACUCUCUAUAUCUUUGUUGGACAGAAUUAACCCUUUGGAUUUGGAGUGAUGUGGAGGGCCAGCCAGAAUGCCAUAAACCAACCACCUUAAACUGACUUAACAAAAACAACAAAUGUAUUAGAGUUCAACACUUUUUCAAAACUCUUUUCCCUUCUUUUUUUGAAAAGAUCACCGAACCCAAGAAGGGCUCCUACGUAUCUCACUCUCGAGAGAGGAGAAUCAGGGGUGCGUAGUUUGUCCAGAUAGGAAAAUUAAUGAUUAAAUAACCGACUGUACACUGACUUGAGAGACGCGACCACAAACAGAAGAUGAAAAACAUCAAUAAAAUCUUUUUGAGUUUUCACUUUAACACUUAACCUAAAAAUGACACCAACAAAUAUGAAAGGAAAAACUUUUUUCUUUUUUGCAUUUUCGUUAUAAAAGAUGUACAAAACUUGUACUAUCUUUUGAUUUUCUUUUAUAAAAGGCUCCUAUUAAGGAAAAUCUUAUUUUCGAAAUUUUCGAAUUAUGAAUGCUUACUAAAGAAACAAAAGAAAUUUUUUUUCGAUGUUUUUGUUUUUGACAAAUGAGUGCAAAAGGUAAAAAGUAUUUUUGAAUUAUAAAAAACAAAAGCCAUAAAGAACUCUAAAAACUACAAAAACUUUUUUUUGACUCUUUUUUCCCUUUUUUUUCGAUUUUUCCAUGCCCACACACCCUUCUUUAAUUCUAGCAAAUGUUUUCCCCAAAUCAGUCCAUCAAAUGACCAUAUUACCCUCAAAGAUGCAACAGUUAGCACGUUGGGAUGCUUCAGGGAUGACCUCCUACAAAGGGCCAAGUAGGCCCCUCUAGGUCUUCAAAAUGAUGAAUAUAAACAUGACCUAAAGGCUGAUCUACGUUGGGGUUCACUAACAAGGCUGUUUGGGGGAGCUUAUGGUCGAUAGUGGCUGCUUUGCUUUCCACCUACUCCAUAACACCGAAGGCUCCCUCCCUAAAAUAAGGGUGACUCAACUAGAGGUCGUGUACAACACGUGUACUACAGACUUGUUGCAGAAAGAAUGACUCGGGUUAUGCACAUGAUUUCAGAUAUAAAACGGUAACACAUAAGAUAAAAACUGUAAACAAAGAGCACAUAGGCACUCAACAAUGAUAAUACAAUAACACAAAACAACACAAACAAAAUGUUCAUACCCCUAUAGUGCCAAACUAAGCUGAUACAACUCCAAAAUAAGCUUGAAUUCUUAAAUAUUCCCCAGCAGAGUCACCAGAGCUGUCACACCCUUUUUUUAACUCCAAAAGAACUGAUUUUAAGGUUCAAAAGGGUUUUUAUUAUUAUGUGACAAAAGGUGAAAAUUUAUUCCGACAAAAGAAUUAUUUUAACUUUCAAAACUUAGAGAUUCCGACUAAGGAAUUCUGUUGACCGAGGGGAAGGUGUUAGGCACCCCUCGAUCCCUUGGUUUGACCACGGUCACGUGAUGGAGCAUAUCGGCUAAUUUAACACUAUGGAUGUAUAAACCACACAAAACACAUAAAAAUAAUCAAUCAAACAAACCAAACAUACGAAUCCCCAAAUAUAGUGUAUAGUCCAAUUAUACAGACCCAAAACAUAAAGAAUGCAGAAAUGUAAACCUACUCUAUUCUAGGCCUUGAUCGUACGCUGUCUUCAAGUACAUGAUACUUUGGGGCAUUCCUCGGAUAAAUCAAUACAAAUUCCAUGAGGCAUUCCCCGGUCAAAUGAAUACAAUAGAUCCCAAUGCAUAAAUCAAAACCACUUCACAAACAUUUCAUCAUACAACAAUCACUGAUCUAAAUUUUCCUACCCGAGCCUACUGUUGCCUACCCCGCUCGACCUAUCAAUCAACGACAUCAAUGAAUCAAAACAACAAUAUUCACUUUAUCAACUUUCAAUUCUCAUCCCACUUAUUUCUAAUUGAGUUUAAAUCAUUCAAUUCAAACAAUCAAUAUGAUGAUCCAAACAUAUCAUAAUCAAUGAAAAUAAAAGCCACACACCAUAAAUUCAACACAUAAAGCAUCAAAUGAUUAAGAUUAAUCGAGAAGCAGAUGAGAAAUGGACCUCAACUUUAUUCCGAACAAUUAGUGACGGAUCGAAGCUCAUGAACCAACGAACCUCGACCAACCUCAAGAUCAACCCGUCAACUCGAUUUGAGAAAUUGCAAUCCGAAACAAGACAGACGAACCAACGAAAAAUGAUGCUCAAAUCUAAUAUAGAUACGAACAAGACGCGGUUUAUGAGUCGUUUUUACCUGAUGAUGUCGUUUUCAUCUCGUUGGAGCUCCGGCGAGUUCAGAAGGAACGAAAAACGGAGAAGACGCUCAGCUUCCGGCCGACAUUAACUUUUCCCGGUGAGAAAUCGCUGGAAUACCCCAAAAUCAAUCGGAUUUGCACUGUUUUUGUUCAACACCUCGAUUUCUAUCUGUUUUUCUCCUCAAUCUCACUAAUUUCAUCCCCAAACUCUCCGUUUCUCUAUAUAUUCCUCUUUUUUUUUAUUUCGAUCUCUCCCUCUUCGUUGUUCUCUGCUUCCUCUUUCGUCUCUCUCUCCAUCUCUCACUGUGUGGCUGUGUGUAUUGAAUAUAUGGGUGUCGUUGAAUCAAAAGAAAAGAAAAUCUUCAUUCCCGUAUUCUCUGUGUAUAUGUCGAAUUGGGAUCCUUUACUUUAUGGUCACUGUGAUGUGCAUGAAUUCCUGUAGGUGUGUUAUUGUGAGAUUGUAUAUGGGUAUCGUGAAAAAUGGAAAUGGUCCAGUGGUGUGUGAUUUCUAUUCACUGUGUGUAAAUUUGAGUGAGGGUAAGUCAAUUUGUUUUGCUGUGGGGCCCGAAGUGU